UGGGGAAUUUUGGACAAUGGGCGCAAGCCUGAUCCAGCCAUGCCGCGUGUCUGAAGAAGGCCUUCGGGUUGUAAAGGACUUUUGUCAGGGAAGAAAAGGACAGGGUUAAUACCUCUGUUUGAUGACGGUACCUGAAGAAUAAGCACCGGCUAACUACGUGCCAGCAGCCGCGGUAAUACGUAGGGUGCGAGCGUUAAUCGGAAUUACUGGGCGUAAAGCGAGCGCAGACGGUUACUUAAGCAGGAUGUGAAAUCCCCGGGCUCAACCUGGGAACUGCGUUCUGAACUGGGUGACUAGAGUGUGUCAGAGGGAGGUAGAAUUCCACGUGUAGCAGUGAAAUGCGUAGAGAUGUGGAGGAAUACCGAUGGCGAAGGCAGCCUCCUGGGAUAACACUGACGUUCAUGCUCGAAAGCGUGGGUAGCAAACAGGAUUAGAUACCCUGGUAGUCCACGCCCUAAACGAUGUCAAUUAGCUGUUGGGCAACUUGAUUGCUUAGUAGCGUAGCUACGCGUGAAAUCGACCGCCUGGGGAGUACGGUCGCAAGAUU
rnacentral:rRNA from 1 species